AGUGAACGCUGGCGGUAGGCCUAACACAUGCAAGUCGAACGGCAGCACAGUAAGAGCUUGCUCUUACGGGUGGCGAGUGGCGGACGGGUGAGGAAUACAUCGGAAUCUACUUUUUCGUGGGGGAUAACGUAGGGAAACUUACGCUAAUACCGCAUACGACCUACGGGUGAAAGCAGGGGAUCUUCGGACCUUGCGCGAUUGAAUGAGCCGAUGUCGGAUUAGCUAGUUGGCGGGGUAAAGGCCCACCAAGGCGACGAUCCGUAGCUGGUCUGAGAGGAUGAAGAGACACACUGGAAUAGAGAAACGGUCAAGAACCACAGGGGAGGAAGCAGGGGGGAAUAUUGGACAAUGGGGGAAAGCCGGAUCCAGCCAUACCGGGGGGGGAAAAAAGGCCUUCGGGUUGUAAAGCCUUUUUGUGGGGAAAAAAAAGCAGCAGGUUAAUACCCCGCUGUUCUGACGGUACCAAAAGAAAAAGCACCGGCUAAUUUGGU
rnacentral:rRNA from 1 species